rnacentral:rRNA from 1 species
ACUCCUACGGGAGGCAGCAGUAGGGAAUCUUCCACAAUGGGCGCAAGCCUGAUGGAGCAACACCGCGUGAGUGAAGAAGGGUUUCGGCUCGUAAAGCUCUGUUGUUAAAGAAGAACACGUAUGAGAGUAACUGUUCAUACGUUGACGGUAUUUAACCAGAAAGUCACGGCUAACUACGUGCCAGCAGCCGCGGUAAUACGUAGGUGGCAAGCGUUAUCCGGAUUUAUUGGGCGUAAAGAGAGUGCAGGCGGUUUUCUAAGUCUGAUGUGAAAGCCUUCGGCUUAACCGGAGAAGUGCAUCGGAAACUGGAUAACUUGAGUGCAGAAGAGGUAGUGGAACUCCAUGUGUAGCGGUGGAAUGCGUAGAUAUAUGGAAGAACACCGAGUGGCGAAGGCGGCUACCUGGUCUGCAACUGACGCUGAGACUCGAAAGCAUGGGUAGCGAACAGGAUUAGAUACCCCUGGUAGGAAAGCG